AACACAUUAAAUAAAGAGUAACAUGAAUAAAGGCAAGAAAUUAAUACCUCUGUAAGCAAGAACAGGCUUGCCGCAGGAGCUUAAAUCGGAGAAAGGUACAGCAACACAUAAAGCUAAUGAACCGAUCCCCAUUUAUAUGCUUAGCUAAAUAACACCAAGAAAUGAAGGUUUAAGACGAGCUCUCUAUAAGCCAAGCUAAUCCAGGGAAAAAUAGGCUAAACAUCCAUUCCCAUAAGCUAAGGGCAGCCAUGGACAUCUGCUUAACCUUAGCUGAUCACUAAAGGCCAACUGAGAGAUUUGAAAAUCAUAAAAGAUCUCCACAUAUAAUGCCUCCG
rnacentral:misc_RNA from 1 species